CGAUGUCGAUGAUGCAGAGAUGUUGGUGAAGCUCAGGUUCGAACAACUUCAUGUGUAUAUUUUAUUAUAAAAAAUAAAAGUUUUUUUUUGUUUCAUGGGUCGUUCAGAGAGGCAAGUUUCUGCCUCCGGUUCUUGCCCGAAGUUUCUGACCUUACUCGCAACCCAUUGACUACAACUUUCAAUUCAAAACAAUUAUAAAAAAAUUACGUUUGAAAACA